rnacentral:rRNA from 1 species
UGCCAGCCGCCGCGGUAAUACGGAGGGGGUUAGCGUUGUUCGGAAUUACUGGGCGUAAAGCGCACGUAGGCGGAUUAGUAAGUUAGAGGUGAAAUCCCGGAGCUUAACUCCGGAACUGCCUUUAAAACUGGUAAGCUAGAGGAUGUGAGAGGUGAGUGGAAUUCCGAGUGUAGAGGUGAAAUUCGUAGAUAUUCGGAAGAACACCAGUGGCGAAGGCGACUCACUGGCUCGAUACUGACGCUGAGGUGCGAAAGUGUGGGGAGCAAACAGGAUUAGAUA